rnacentral:rRNA from 1 species
ACAUGCAAGUCGAACGAGAAAGCGGGGGCAACUCCGCGAGUAAAGUGGCGACCGGGUGAGUAACACGUGACUAACCUGCCCUCGAGCGGGGGAUAACCCCGGGAAACCGGGGCUAAUACCGCAUAACAUCUUCGAUAUGAAAGUAUUGAGGAUCAAAGGAGCAAUUCACUUGAGGAGGGGGUCGCGGCCGAUUAGCUAGUUGGCGGGGUAACGGCCCACCAAGGCUGAGAUCGGUAGCCGGCCUGAGAGGGCGCACGGCCACACUGGAACUGAAACACGGUCCAGACUCCUACGGGAGGCAGCAGUGGGGAAUUUUGCGCAAUGGGGGGAACCCUGACGCAGCAACGCCGCGUGGAGGAUGAAGUCCCUUGGGACGUAAACUCCUUUCGACCGGGAAGAUAAUGACGGUACCGGAAGAAGAAGCACCGGCUAACUCUGUGCCAGCAGCCGCGGUAAUACAGAGGGUGCGAGCGUUGUUCGGAAUUAUUGGGCGUAAAGGGCGCGU